UGUCCUAAGCUGCUGCUCAGAAGCUCACCGUAAAGGAAACUAUGUUGCUGCCAUUUGACGUCAAAGCGCAUCGAUAACUGAUUCAGUAAUUGGCAACUACUCCUCUAUCAAUGUGUAUGCACAUGGAGACUUGGACUGUCAGAUAAGGGCAGAACGCCAACAACCAAGGCAAGAAGAAUGUGAAAAAGGAUUCAGUAUGUUCAAGAACCCCAAGCCUGAAUCGGAGAUGAGAAAGUGACCACAUCAAAAUGGAGAGAAAAGUAAAAGGUGAGUGAGAGAGAGAAAGGCCAGACAUUUUCUUGUGUUCUAUCCUGUGCCAUUUCAGAGCAGAAUACUAUGCCUCUAACUGUAGAUUAUUCUCAUCUGUAAAAUCUGGAAGGAGAAAUGGCAGCCACCUUUCAAAGUCUAUUCACAUGCUGUGGUAAAAUAUAUGUAUCUCUGUGGGACUGACUGCAGCCUUUAUUAAUGUGCUCAGAUUUCUCCUCGGAGUAAAUGUUUAUUAAUACAUAAAAACCUGUUGAAAGCUCGUAAUUAUCCACAUAUAUUGCUCACACUUUGUAGACCAUUCACAGAAUAUUCAGGCUGGAUUUGCUCCAGCAACUUACCACAUAUAUGGCUAACCAACAACUGGUGUGUUCUCAAGAUGCCCAGAUUUCAACAUCAGCAUAAGGCAAAACAAGCUAAAAUGAGUUUUACAAAAUCAAAGAAAAAUUAUUUGAGAAUUAUCCAUUGAUUGUAUUUAUCUAUGCCGGUAAACUCUUCCCUUAUUUGGACAAUUAAGAGUUGUCAUUGUUUUGCUUUGUUUUUUCUCUCUAAUGUCGAAUGCAGAUAACAAAACUUACUUCAAAAACUGAAAUUUAGAGAUGGCCUAUUUGGUUUUCUGAUACCCUAAUAGAGUUCUUUUCCCUUUUGGACCUCUUCAGAUUGUAUGUAAAUAUGUGUGUGCAAAUGCCUGUCGGUAGGUGAGCCUAUAUAACAUUUCAAAAGCUUUUCUUAGUCUCUAAGUUCAUUAGUUUAAAAAUAAUUAAAAACUACUACUUAUUAUUUAUCCCAAGGUUU